GACGAACGCUGGCGGCGUGCUUAACACAUGCAAGUCGAACGGAAAGGCCCUGCUUUUGUGGGGUGCUCGAGUGGCGAACGGGUGAGUAACACGUGAGUAACCUGCCCUUGACUUUGGGAUAACUUCAGGAAACUGGGGCUAAUACCGGAUAGGAGCUCCUGCUGCAUGGUGGGGGUUGGAAAGUUUCGGCGGUUGGGGGUGGACUCGCGGCUUAUCAGCUUGUUGGUGGGGUAGUGGCUUACCAAGGCUUUGACGGGUAGCCGGCCUGAGAGGGUGAACGGCCACACUGGGACUGAGGUACGGCACAGACUCCUACGGGAGGCAGCAGUGGGGAAUAUUGCACAAUGGGCGGAAGCCUGAUGCAGCAACGCCGCGUGCGGGAUGACGGCCUUCGGGUUGUAAACCGCUUUCGCCUGUGACGAAGCGUGAGUGACGGUAAUGGGUAAAGAAGCACCGGCUAACUACGUG
rnacentral:rRNA from 1 species